UGCCAGACUCCUACGGGAGGCAGCAGUGGGGAAUAUUGCACAAUGGGGGAAACCCUGAUGCAGCGACGCCGCGUGAAGGAAGAAGUAUCUCGGUAUGUAAACUUCUAUCAGCAGGGAAGAAAACAGACGGUACCUGACUAAGAAGCCCCGGCUAACUACGUGCCAGCAGCCGCGGUAAUACGUAGGGGGCAAGCGUUGUUCGGAAUGACUGGGCGUAAAGGGUGCGUAGGCGGUGUAGCAAGUUAGAAGUGAAAUACCUAGAGCUUAACUCAGGUGCUGCUUCUAAAACUGCUAUACUUGAGUGCAGUAGAGGAAAGUGGAAUUCCUAGUGUAGCGGUGGAAUGCGUAGAUAUUAGGAGGAACAUCAGUGGCGAAGGCGACUUUCUGGACUGUAACUGACGCUGAGGCACGAAAGUGUGGGGAGCAAACAGGAUUAGAUACCCGUGUACC
rnacentral:rRNA from 1 species